GGCUCAGGACGAACGGCUGGCGGCGUAGCCUAAUACAUGCAAGUCGAACGGUCUUUCUAUGGAAGCUUGCUCCACUGAGAAGAUAGUGGCGAACGGGUGAGUAACACGUGGGUAACCUGCCCAUAAGAGGGGGAUAACAUCCGGAAACGGGUGCUAAUACCGCAUAGUUUCUUGAUCGCAUGAUUGAGAAAGGAAAGACGGCCUUUGUGCUGUCGCUUAUGGAUGGACCCGCGGCGUAUUAGUUAGUUGGUGAGGUAACGGCUCACCAAGACGAUGAUACGUAGCCGACCUGAGAGGGUGAUCGGCCACAUCGGGACUGAGACACGGCCCAAACUCCUACGGGAGGCAGCAGUAGGGAAUCUUCCGCAAUGGACGAAAGUCUGACGGAGCAACGCCGCGUGAGUGAAAGAAGGUUUUCGGAUCGUAAAACUCUGUUGUCAGAGAAGAACAAGUUGGAGAGUAACUGCUCCAGCCUUGACGGUAUCUGACCAGAAAGCCACGGCUAACUACGUGCCAGCCGCCGC
rnacentral:rRNA from 1 species